rnacentral:misc_RNA from 1 species
AAGUCGUAACAAGGUUUCCGUAGGUGAACCUGCGGAAGGAUCAUUAACACUUUGUUCAUUUUUUAAUAUUUACUUAAAUUUAUUUUUUAAUUAAAUAUUAGAAAAACAAAAACCCCACAAUUUUGGAUGAAUUUAAUUAUUUUCAUUUUUAUUUUAUUAUUAUUAAAACUCUAUAUAAAUUUCUUUGACUAACAUUUUUUUUUUUAAAUUAUUUAAAAUUAUAAAAACAACUCUUAACAACGGAUAUCUUGGCUCUC